ensembl:lncRNA
CAACGGUCCAGCGACGAGAGACACAAAGCUGCCAUCUUAUAAAGGAGCUGGAACACUCUCAUGAUGAGCCACAGGUGCGUGGGUCAGGGGCAGGAGCCCACAGGUGAGCUCCGCCCAGGCCGAGGGAGGAGGGAAAGAGAGGAAGGGAGAGAGCAGGAACAAAAAUGAAAAUAAAACAUAUGUAGCCAUGCUGAGCCGACCGGGUAGGCACAGGGACCCUGACAAAUUCAACUGAAUCUUAAAAAUAUGUAAUUUAGCAUCACAUCACCAUAAAAUCAACAACUGAAAAAUAAAACAAAAUAAAAAGAAAGACCUAAAUUAAAACAGUUUGUGAUUUGUCUUGUGCUUUCAAAAUACAUUGUCAAAUAUAAAAAGUGCUGCAUUUAUAUGCUCUGCUCAUCAGUACUGGUAUUUUAAUGUAAGCAAACACAGGGAACAUAUACCGAUGGGUAAGUACUACAGAUGAAAUAAACUUGGGAUGCAAAGAAACCAUGAAAUAAUGAAUGAAAUAGUGAAGUUUAGAAAUAAAAUAAACAACUAUUUUAAUUAAUCCAGUGUCCAGUGGGACAUGCAGCCUCCAACUACUCCCAUGCUCACCGCCCUGCAUUGUUACAAAGGCACUAGUGUAUUUAAGAAUAACCUUUUUAUUAAGGUUUAACACAUUUUUACACAGACACACAGCUUUGCUUCCUCACAAAACCAAACAUAAAAUCCACCAAACGUCUUUGCUGGCAGAGGUAAUGAUUCUCCCAGCAGGGAUCUGUAGAGUGUAUUAAUCUGUGAUAUAAGCAGCAGUCACUGAAAUAUUACUGUUUCAGAUAAGAAAUCAACCACGUAAAAGGCACGGUGGGAGGGUUUUUAAAUCAAUGUGGGCUGUCUGCAUUUUGAGGCUUAAACUGGUUUUUAGAAGCUAUGACUCACUGUCUUCUUACAUGCCUUAUAGAUUUCUUAAUUUACACACUGAUUUUCACAAUGGCAGCUACUUUUGAGGAAUCAUUGCAGUCAUUUGACUGUGUGCGGUUUAGUGUUAUCUCACAAACUGUAGCUGAAGGCCUGAUUUUUCUCUAAAGAUACUUCUUGAAAGAUCAUAUGCCACAAACUUAGUUUAGAGAGGCCACGAUGUAUGUAGUGAAGUCUGCAAGUUUUGAACAUUGAAAUUUGUUUUGUGCCUAAAUUAUUCUGCAGAUCAUAAGAAUGAAAAGUUAUUGGUCAUUAUUAAAGAGCCCCUUUUAAAAAAUAAGCUUUCCCGACAUUAUUGUGUGUUGGGUGGUGGUCAGGGCUAUCCAGACUGACAGGACACCAGGAGAGAUGCAUCCUCUGUCACAGAUGGUGUGGUCAGUGAAGAUGGUCACUGCAGGUUCAAGCUCAUUGCAUCUCCAACCCACAUCCACUGCCACUGUACUUAAGGGAAGUUAAAGACUUUCUUCUGCACUUGGAUCGCCUCAAUCCAUGACAGUCAUUCAGGCAAUAAUGCCUGGACUGGAAACAAGUCAUCCUUAAAAUAUUACAAUAUACCAAGCUUCUGUGUUUGAAUGCAAAACAAAGGUGUUGUUUGAUCUAAAGACUGCACUUGUGGCUACGCAAUAAAUAUAUUUUCUUUUGAUUAUAUAAUUAAUGUAACUUGCAAAACAAAGUUGUGGAAAGCCUAAACUUAGUUUCAGAAUAAUUAAAUCUGAGACUUUGUUUCAUUGUAAGAUUAUAACAAUGAUGGCAAUAUAAUUGUCUAUUGUUCAGCAGAACAGUGUCCAGUAUGUUGGCUGAUAUACCUUUUUGCAUUUGAAAAUAAAAGUUGGGCUGAUUUUAACACCAUUACAAGAAGUGUUGUUAAUU